rnacentral:rRNA from 1 species
GACGAACGCUGGCGGCGUGCUUAACACAUGCAAGUCGAACGGAAAGGCCUGCCUUCCCUUGUGGAUUGCGGGUACUCGAGUGGCGAACGGGUGAGUAACACGUGAGUGAUCUGCCCCCAACUUGGGUAUAAGCCUGGGAAACUGGGUCUAAUUCCCGAUAGGACUGCAGGGUGGUGCCUGUGGUGGAAAACGAUUUUCUAGUGGUUGGGGAUGAGCUCGCGGCCUAUCAGCUUGUUGGUGGGGUAAUGGCCUACCAAGGCGGCGACGGGUAGCCGGCCUGAGAGGGGGGACGGCCAAAUUGGGACUGAGACAAGGCCCAGACGCCUACGGGAGGCAGCAGUGGGGAAUAUUGCACAAUGGGCGGAAGCCUGAUGCAGCGACGCCGCGUGGGGGAUGACGGCCUUCGGGUUGUAAACUCCUUUCGACCGCGAGGAAGCCACCUGGUUGGAAGGGUGGUGACGGUAGUGGUAGAAGAAGCACCGGCUAACUACGUG